rnacentral:rRNA from 1 species
AAUCAACGCUGGCGGCGUGCCUCAGACAUGCAAGUCGAACGAUUAAAGCUCUCUUCGGAGAGUGCAUAAAGUGGCGCACGGGUGAGUAACACGUAAGUAAUCUACCCUCGAGUGGGGAAUAACGUCCGGAAACGGACGCUAAUACCGCAUAAUGCAGCGGCACCGCAAGGUGACAGUUGUUAAAGAUUUAUCGCUUGAGGAGGAGCUUGCGGCAGAUUAGCUAGUUGGUAAGGUAAUGGCUUACCAAGGCUACGAUCUGUAACCGGUCUAAGAGGACGGUCGGUCACACUGACACUGAAUAACGGGUCAGACUCCUACGGGAGGCAGCAGUCGGAA